AGAGUUUGAUCAUGGCUCAGAACGAACGCUGGCGGUGUGGUUAAGACAUGCAAGUCGAACGGAAAGGCCCCUUCGGGGGGUACUCGAGUGGCGAACGGGUGAGGAGCGCGUGGGUAACGUACACUCCGGUGGGGGAUAACAUCCUUAACAGGGUGCUAAUACCGCGUACGGUUGCCGGUUUAUCAAUUGGCAAAGAAAGGCUUCGGCCGCCGGAGGAUCGGCCCGCGUCCCAUUAGCUUGUUGGCGGGGUAACGGCCCACCAAGGCGACGAUGGGUAGCCGGCCUUAGAGGGCGAUCGGCCACACUGGGACUGAGAUACGGCCCAGACUCCUACGGGAGGCAGCAGUCUGGAAUAUUGCGCAAUGGAGGAAACUCUGACGCAGCAACGCCGCGUGAGGGACGAAGGCUUUCGAGUUGUAAACCUCUUUUGCGAGGGAAGAAGAUCUGACGGUACCUCGCGAAUAAGCCCCGGCCAACUCCGUGCCAGCAGCCGCGGUAAGACGGAGGGGGCGAGCGUUGUUCGGAAUUACUGGGCGUAAAGCGCGCGCAGGCGGUGGGCUAAGUCAGGUGUUACAUCCCAAGGCACAACCUUGGACCUGCGCCUGAAACUGGUUCACUCGAGUACGGGAGAGGAGAGUGGAAUUCCCAGUGUAGCGGUGAAAUGCAUAGAUAUUGGGAGGAACACCGGUGGCGAAGGCGACUCUCUGGCCCGUUACUGACGCUCAGGUGCGAAAGCUAGGGGAGCGAACGGGAUUAGAUACCCCGGUAGUCCUAGCCGUAAACGUUGGGCACUAGGUGUGGGAGGUAGUCGACUCCUUCUGUGCCGAAGCUAACGCAUUAAGUGCCCCGCCUGGGGAGUACGGUCGCAAGGCUGAAACUCAAAUGAAUUGACGG
rnacentral:rRNA from 1 species